rnacentral:rRNA from 1 species
UACGGGGGGAGCAAGCGUUGUUCGGAUUUACUGGGCGUAAAGGGCGCGUAGGCGGCCACCGCAAGUCAGUUGUGAAAUCUCCGGGCUUAACCCGGAGCGGCCAAGUGAUACUUUCGUGCUAGAGUGCGGAAGGGGCUACUGGAAUUCUCGGUGUAGCGGUGAAAUGCGUAGAUAUCGAGAGGAACACCGGUGGCGAAGGCGGGUCUCUGGGCCGAAAUUGACGCUGAGGAGCGAAAGCGUGGGGAGCAAACAGG